AGUUGUUUCCUAUGAUCAUUCCUAUGAGACUAGUAUAAGUCCAUAGAUUGGCAUCUGGUAUCCUUGUUUCUUUUUGUUUUGUGAGACUAGUAUAAGUCCAUAGAUUGGCAUCUGGUAUCCUUGUUUCUUUUUAUUUUGUGAGGCUGGUAUAAGUCCAUUGAUUGGCAUCUGGUAUCCAUGUUUUGGUUUUGUGAGAUUGGUAUAAGUCCAUUGGCAUCCGGUAUCCAUUUUUGUUUUAGGAGAUUGGAAUAAGUCCAUUGAUUGGCAUCCGGUAUCCAUUUACUUUGUUUACCUAUUAUUUGCUUGUUGCCUAUUCCAAAGGAAUCACUUGAAUCAUCUACCUAUGAUCUCAAGAGGUGAACAUCUAAGAAGUUUUAC
rnacentral:lncRNA from 1 species